rnacentral:miRNA from 1 species
AAUAUCCUUUUAACAAAUUAUGCGUAUUUAAGGAGAUAGGGCUGCGCAUGCGCAGAACGUAUCUCCUUACCUUUGCACUUUUUGGCAAGAAGAUGUUAACGAAAGUUGUUCGUCUUGAUGAUGGCUACAACUUUGCUUAAUAUCCUUUUAACAAAUUAUGCGUAUUUAAGGAGAUAGGGCUGCGCAUGCGCAGAACGUAUCUCCUUACCUUUGCACUUUUUGGUAGGAAGAUGUU